AGAGUUUGAUCCUGGCUCAGGAUGAACGCUAGCUACAGGCUUAACACAUGCAAGUCGAGGGGCAGCAUGGUCUUAGCUUGCUAAGGCUGAUGGCGACCGGCGCACGGGUGAGUAACACGUAUCCAACCUGCCGUCUACUCUUGGCCAGCCUUCUGAAAGGAAGAUUAAUCCAGGAUGGGAUCAUGAGUUCACAUGUCCGCAUGAUUAAAGGUAUUUUCCGGUAGACGAUGGGGAUGCGUUCCAUUAGAUAGUAGGCGGGGUAACGGCCCACCUAGUCAACGAUGGAUAGGGGUUCUGAGAGGAAGGUCCCCCACAUUGGAACUGAGACACGGUCCAAACUCCUACGGGAGGCAGCAGUGAGGAAUAUUGGUCAAUGGGCGAUGGCCUGAACCAGCCAAGUAGCGUGAAGGAUGACUGCCCUAUGGGUUGUAAACUUCUUUUAUAAAGGAAUAAAGUCGGGUAUGCAUACCCGUUUGCAUGUACUUUAUGAAUAAGGAUCGGCUAACUCCGUGCCAGCAGCCGCGGUAAUACGGAGGAUCCGAGCGUUAUCCGGAUUUAUUGGGUUUAAAGGGAGCGUAGGCGGACGCUUAAGUCAGUUGUGAAAGUUUGCGGCUCAACCGUAAAAUUGCAGUUGAUACUGGGUGUCUUGAGUACAGUAGAGGCAGGCGGAAUUCGUGGUGUAGCGGUGAAAUGCUUAGAUAUCACGAAGAACUCCGAUUGCGAAGGCAGCCUGCUGGACUGUAACUGACGCUGAUGCUCGAAAGUGUGGGUAUCAAACAGGAUUAGAUACCCUGGUAGUCCACACAGUAAACGAUGAAUACUCGCUGUUUGCGAUAUACAGUAAGCGGCCAAGCGAAAGCGUUAAGUAUUCCACCUGGGGAGUACGCCGGCAACGGUGAAACUCAAAGGAAUUGACGGGGGCCCGCACAAGCGGAGGAACAUGUGGUUUAA
rnacentral:rRNA from 1 species